rfam:Anaerolinea sp. 4484_236 ex4484_236_scaffold_21593, whole genome shotgun sequence.
GCCCUGGUAGCUCAAUAGGAUAGAGCAAUCGCCUCCUAAGCGAUAGGUUAUGGGUUCAACUCCCAUCUAGGGCA